CGGUGUGGUCGAGUGGUAAGACAACCGCCUUUGCGCACCGAAUGGUGGUGAACACCGGUUCGAAUCCGGUCAUCGG
rnacentral:tRNA from 1 species